GGCAUCUCCAUUCUGCAGCUGCUGCCUCCUUGCAUAUAAACUCCACACGCCCCAGAUUCAAACAGAUCAAUUAUUCAUGGCAGGACUGGGCGACCAAGCGCGCACUCACCAGAGUUGAAAGACAAACCUUGAGGGUGGCGCCAAGGACACACAAAUAUUGUAUGUGUGUACAUCGACAACCACGGACUCCUUCACAGCAGAGCAGCCAAGCCUCCUGUACGACGAGUGCUGCGCUGCCAGCCGCCCCAUCGGGACCAUUAUCUUCACACCUCUCUGCCCUCGGCGCCUCCCCCUCCCCACACCCUUUCGCACUGCCAACCUUCCGUCGCCGUUGGUCGGUCCUCUCGGAGGUUGAACUGGGCCCCAGUCAACCAUGGGGUAACUGUAAUGGCCAAAAGCCCAAGCCCAAACUCAAACACGCCACGUUUGCAAAACUGAUUCAUUCUGUUGAACUUGACAAAUGGCACUUGUGUGUGUGUGUGUGUGUGUGUGUCAUGAAGCACUUGUGUGUGUGUGUGUGUGUGUGUCAUGAAGGGAUUAAAUGUACUUUCUACUGAGCAAGUAAAUUAAAAACAUAAUUAAUAAAAAUACAACAUUCAGAAUUGAAAUAAUCAACCGGGCUACUUCUUUUAAGGGACACAUUAUGCUUUUUUUUCUCUCCCACAAAUUUCUCCCACAGUCUUUCACGUUACACUCCCACAGUCUUUCACGUUACACUCGUUACAAUGGCGACUAUGGAUCGCACCAAUGUAUUGUAUGUGGGGAAAAAAAGAACAAAAUGAGGAAAAACCUGUGGUGGUCAUCAAAGGUGCCCGGGAGAGGAGGUUCUAUCAAGGAUUGCUUGAGGUAUGUUCACAUACUUUUAACACGAUACGGCUCGCAAGCAGGCAACAAAAUGUUAUGUAGCCUGGCAAGGUAGUGCUCGCACUAACGUUUGUACGUAAACAACCCGGCCUUCUGUCGACUCAUGCUCUAAAGUUUCAGUAAACAUUGGUUUGAUCGCGUGAAUAAAUGGUCACAAUACGCAAUCCUAUUGGUCAAGGUGUGCUUUCGGAGAGUUGUCGUUAAUAUGUCACACUACACGGAAGAUAUUGCCAAAAAAUCAAACAUGAAAA